CAGCCAUUCCAGCAAUCCCUUCAGAGCAGUCCACAGAGUCCAUGACAGCAGCAGCUGCUGCUGCCUUAGAAGCAUCUUUGUUGCCCACCGAACUGUCGCUACCUCCUGUGUAUGGUGACCAUACAUACAGCCAACCAAAGCCUGCAUUAGGACUGCCCCAAUUCCAAGACUUUGCCAAACCAGCAC
rnacentral:lncRNA from 1 species